UACGAAGGGGGCUAGCGUUGUUCGGAUUUACUGGGCGUAAAGCGCGUGUAGGCGGCUAAGUAAGUCGGGCGUGAAAUCCCUGGGCUCAACCCAGGAAUUGCACUUGAAACUGCAAGCCUUGAGUGUCGGAGAGGAAAGUGGAAUUCCUGGUGUAGAGGUGAAAUUCGUAGAUAUUAGGAAGAACACCAGUGGCGAAGGCGGCUCACUGGCCCGGUACUGACGCUGAGGCGCGAAAGCGUGGGGAGCAAACAGG
rnacentral:rRNA from 1 species